AGUUAAAAUUUUAAUCUAUUUCUACUAUUAAAAAAUGACAUGAUUGACAAAAUAAUUAAAUAAUUACACAUAAUAUGUACCUCAUGUCAACGUACAUGAAUUAACUUUUAAUAGUUAAAAUGGAUGAAUUUUUUUAACA
rfam:Gossypium hirsutum cultivar TM-1 chromosome 23, whole genome shotgun sequence